GAUGAACGCUGGCGGCGUGCCUAAUACAUGCAAGUCGAGCGAACGGACGAGAAGCUUGCUGCUCUGACGUUAGCGGCGGACGGGUGAGUAACACGUGGAUAACCUACCUAUAAGACGGGGAAAAUUUCGGGAAACGGGAGCUAAUACGGGAGAAUAUUUUGAACCGCAGGGGUGAAAAGUGAAAGACGGUCUUGCGGGAAGGAAUAGCUGGAUCCGCGCUGCAUUAGCUAGUUGGUAAGGUAACGGCUUAGCAAGGGAACUAUGCAUAGCCGACCUGAGAGGGUGAUAGGCCACACGGGAGCGGAGCCGCGGUCCAGGCUCCUGCGGUAGGCAGCAGUAGGGUAUCUUCCGCAAUGGGCGGGAGCCUUGCGGAGCAACGCCGCGUGAGUGAUGGCGGCCUUCCGAUCGUAAUGCUCGGUUAUUAGUGAUGAACAGAUGUGUAAGUAACUGUGCACUUCUUGACGGUACCUAGUCAGAAAGCCACGGCUAACUACGUG
rnacentral:rRNA from 1 species